UUGAGACAUGGAUUGUGUCAUUCAGAGGGUGAAUGGACAAGACUAAAUAUGUACGUGCCUUUGAAUGAGGUAUGGUAGUCGGUGCCAGGCGCACUGGUUUGUGUCAAGAACUGCAACGCUGCUGGGUUUUUCACACACACAACAGUUUCCCAUGUGUAUCAAGAAUGGUCCACCACCCAAAGGACAUCCAGCCAAAUUGACACAACUGUGUAACUCAAUAUUAGGCAGGUGUUCUUAUAAUGUUUUGUACACUCAGUGUAUAAGACCAUUUUAUAAAUGGUAAAAUUGCAUGUGAUAUGAUUGCAUUUUUGACCAGAAUCAAACUGUCUCUAAUAUCACAAUAAUGUACCUACUGUGUAUUGAUUAUGUUGAUAAAUUCUGUGUGUACCCCAGGUUUAGGUGAUGUGUCCUGUAACUUCUGACCUGUCACCUCUAACCUUUGUGUACCCCGGGUUCAGCCAGUAGCGCCUAUGCAGAUAGGAAGGCUGAGCUGUCAGGGGCCAAUCACAUCGUCUAUAACCCUGACUCCUCCCCCAACAUGUGUCCCGGGACAACACCACACAGCACCCUGGAAAAGACUCCCCGUGGAUCAGGUGGGAAUAUGAAGACUGGAAGACAGAGUCUGAGUAAAUCCAUGUUUGAUCUGUCCAACUCCAGCCCUCACAACCACAUACAGCGUUACGACAGUGUGUCCAAUGUACAGAGCGGCAGUGCUUCAUCCUCCAAGAGGGACUCCCUGGAGAGCAGCCGUAGUCUUGAGUCCAUCACGUUGUCAGGCGAUGAGAGGGAGCAGAGAGAGCUGGGGAAGGUGUGUGUCCGGCUGAGUUACCAAGAGGCCCUGGAGCAGGUGUGGAUCACGCUGGUACAGUGUAAGGAUGUGUCCCUCGUUCAGAACAGCAGUGAGCAGCAGAAGAUUAGCUUUAAAGGCAUCAUCACUAUGAGCAAACCAGUACAGUUCAAGAGCUCCGUCAAGGAAGGUUCUCCGGACACAGUCUUCAUGGAGACCUUUGUGUUUACAUUGCGGCUGCAGCAGCUGCGUUGCUGUGCUCUGGUAUUCCGGCUGCAGACCCACCAGCCCAGGAAGAGGACGGUGGCAGAGUGUGUUCUCUCCCUCAGACAGCUAGGCCCUGUGGAGACACAGCACUGGAUGGAGCUCAACCCCCUCUCCAAGACCACAGUGUGUCACGCUGAGUUGCACCUGGCCACCUGUUUCCAGCCUGUUAACGGACGCAUCCAACUGCAGGUUCUCGCUGCCCAGAACCUCCCAGCUCCACUCAGCCAGGCAUUCUUUGUGAAGAUAGAGAUGCAGCAGUUGAGCAGGGUGGUGAUGAAGAAGAAGACUCACGCCCUGAAGUCCUCCGGAGGUCAGCUGACCUGGACUGAGUCUUUCUACUUCCCCUUAGCUCUGGACCAGGGCUUCCUGCUGUCAGUCAAACUCUACAGCCGCGGUUCUGUCAGACGGAAACACUACCUAGGACAGGUUCACCUUGGCUUCGACAGCCCAACACAGGAAGCAGCAGAGCAGUGGAGGGACAGCAUGUCUCACCCUGAGAAGGUGGUAGCUGUAUGGCACAGACUCAACGGAUUCUGACACACCUGUAUAAAUUCACACAGUGUCCCAAAGGAGUUGACAGUCUCACCUGUAUCGCCACCUGUACCGCCACCCAGUGGUGUAAAGUACUUUAGUAAUAAUACUUUAAAGUACUACAUAAUACGUUUUUGGAGGUAUCUGUACUUUACUUUACUAUUUAUAUGUUUGCCAACGUUUACUUUUACUUCACUACAUUCCUAAAGAAAAUAAUGACCUUGUAUUAUUUUUGUAUAUAAAGUAUGUAGCUAACACAUUUAUGUUGCAUAGACUUGUUUUGUGUCAUGCCAUAUGUUGUAUGUUCAGUUGAUAUAAUAUUUUAGAGGACAGAUAUUUGGCGGCAGGUAGCAUUGGGCCAGUAACCGAAAGGUUGCUAGUUCGAAUCCCCGAGCUGACAAGGUUAAAAAAAAACUGUCGUUCUUCCCCCUGAACAAGGCAGUUAACCCAAGGUUCCCUGGUAGGCCGUCAUUGUAAAUAAGAAUUUGUUCUUCACUGACUUGCCUAGUUAAAUAAAGGUUCAAUAAAAAAAUAUAAACAAUUCAUGAGUAAUGGUACCCCAGAGUUGAUGUGUUCUCAUUAGUGGUCCUGAUGAAUUCCUGGUCUUCUGCAUCUCCUGUACUCACACUGUUUAGUGUUUCCCACAUAUUUAAGGGUCUCUAUUCAGUCUGUAAAGCUGAAGACUUAGGGCUCUAUUCAGUCUGUAAAGCUGAAGACUUAGGUCUCUAUUCAGUCUGUAAAGCUGAAGACUUAGGUCUCUAUUCAGUCUGUACAGCUGAAGACUUAGGUCUCUAUUCAGUCUGUACAGCUGAAGACUUAGGUCUCUAUUCAGUCUGUAAAGCUGAAGACUUAGGGCUCUAUUCAGUCUGUAAAGCUGAAGACUUAGGGCUCUAUUCAGUCUGUACAGCUGAAGACUUAGGGCUCUAUUCAGUCUGUAAAGCUGAAGACUUAGGUCUCUAUUCAGUCUGUAAAGCUGAAGACUUAGGGCUCUAUUCAGUCUGUAAAGCUGAAGACUUAGGUCUCUAUUCAGUCUGUAAAGCUGAAGACUUAGGGCUUUAUUCAGUCUGUAAAGCUGAAGACUUAGGGCUCUAUUCAGUCUGUAAAGCUGAAGACUUAGGUCUCUAUUCAGUCUAUAAAGCUGAAGACUUAGGUCUCUAUUAAGUCUGUAAAGCUGAAGACUUAGGUCUCUAUUCAGUCUGUAAAGCUGAAGACUUAGGGCUCUAUUCAGUCUGUAAAGCUGAAGACUUAGGUCUCUAUUCAGUCUGUAAAGCUGAAGACUUAGGGCUCUAUUCAGUCUGUAAAGCUGAAGACUUAGGUCUCUAUUCAGUCUAUAAAGCUGAAGACUUAGGUCUCUAUUAAGUCUGUAAAGCUGAAGACUUAGGUCUCUAUUCAGUCUGUAAAGCUGAAGACUUAGGGCUCUAUUCAGUCUGUAAAGGUGAAGCGUUAGAUUCAGACAUGAAUGCUGCCUCCGCUAAAGAGGGAAAAACCGCCUUUAAAUUUCAAUCACGUUGUAAAGCUGAACUUCUGCGAUGCGGAUUGAAUAGAGCCCUUAACUGUCUAAUAUUAUAGUCUUAAUCUAGACAUCUACUGUAUAUUUUUUAGUAUUAUAAGAAUUGAUUAACCGUCAUUAGCAUAUAGUUAUCGUACAAACUGUUUCAUGGUUUGAGUCUUUCAUCCCAUCUAAUGUCAUUUUAUGUAUUUUAUUUUGUCAUUUUAUGUAUUUGUAUUUUAUUUUAUGUCAUUUUAUGUCAUUUUAUGUAUUUUGUCAUUUUAUGUAUUUUUAUGUAUUUUAUGUCAUUUUAUGUCAUUUUAUGUCAUUUUAUGUAUUUUUAUGUAUUUUAUGUCAUUUUAUGUAUUUUAUGUAUUUUGUCAUUUUAUGUUAUUUUAUGUAUUUUAUGUCAUUUUAUGUAUUUUAUGUCAUGCCAUGUAAAGACUGUAAAGAUAAGCAUGAUUAAAACUACAGUAGGUUUUUCUCAAACCCAAAAUCAAUGACUUUUACAGUAUCAGUCAAACAUUUAGACACAACAACUCAUUCAAAGGUUUUUCUUUAUUUUUACUGUUUUCUACAUUGUAGAAUAAUAGUGAAUACAUAAAAACUAUGAAAUAACACAUAUGAAAUCAUGUAGUAACCAAAAAAAAAGUGUUAAACAAAUCAAAAUAUAUUUUAUAUUUGAGAUUCUUCAAAGUAGCCAAGCCUUUGCCUUGAUGACAGCUUGGCACACUCUUGGUAUUCCUCUCAUGCGUGUCAUGAGGCGCAGGUGAGCGAGACAAGGGUGACAGGUGUGCUGGAUAAUCAGCAGCCUGAUCACCUCGAGGCCGGAGAGGGAGUAUACGUGACAUAUAUUGUGCACUAAGACUUGUGUUUGUGUCCUUGUCGGUGCGUGCUUCGGCCAGUCAUCGUUUACGUAAUAAAUAUUUGAUCUAAGUUAAUGUUUACUCAGCCUGCAGGCAUUCCAGACACACCUUGGCCGUAAGCUUUUCUCAUUACUCAACAGCACCUUUCACUCAACACCAUUCGGAGAGCAAAGGGUCUGACUAACACUUCGGGAUUUGAGAAUCUGUGUCCCUAAUUUACAUGAGGUACUGUCUAGUUUGAUCUUUAGGGGGUUGUAAAAGACCUGGGUUUAAAUACUUACAGGGUUCGCUUUAGGGAGUCCAAACAGAUCAGUUGAGAACGGACACCAAAUGAGAACCAGUACACUGGUCACUGGUCCGUGCGCAUGUCCUCUUCCAAUUGGCUAACGUUUCAGUGGGCCCGUCCAAAAGCUCGAAAUCAUCUGAACAUUUUGUUUGUGAAAACGGAUAAACAUUUUGAAGGUUAAGGACGCGUCAUCUCCGCUGUCCGACUUACGACUCCCCAUUUCAGUAACUAUUGGAACUCGCGGAUAAAAUCAACGUGCCGGUUUGGCCACGCUCUUAGACCGUCUGGAGUGUCUGGCAGAAAAAGUUUGGGAAACCCUGACAUAGCAGCCGGGCCAGAUUACAGACCGGGCACGUGCCCUGGGGCCCCGAUCUUCAGAGGAACCCCAAAAAUAAUCUAAUAGUACAUGAACACAUCACAAACCAUUGUAAAAAUGUGUAGCAUUGCCGUAAAUGAGCUUUAAGACGGUAAACAUUUCUUGUAAAUGCAGGAAGUUAACUGAUUUCCUAAAUAUUAAAAAUGUUUUCAAAAG